rnacentral:rRNA from 1 species
UACGUAGGGGGCAAGCGUUGUCCGGAAUUAUUGGGCGUAAAGAGCGCGUAGGCGGUCCGAUAAGUCGGCUGUGAAAGUCAGGGGCUCAACCCUUGAAAGCCGGCCGAUACUGUCGGACUAGAGUCCGGAAGAGGCAAGUGGAAUUCCCGGUGUAGCGGUGAAAUGCGUAGAGAUCAGCAGGAACACCCGUGGCGAAGGCGGCCCCCCGGGCCGUACCUGACGCUGAGGCGCGAAGGCUAGGGGAGCGAACGGG